UGAAUUGCGAUAAGUAAUGUGACUUGCAUUCAUUUGUGAAUCAUCGAAUCUUUGAACGCACCUUGCACUUUGAGAUUCCAUUUCAAAGUAUACCUGUUUGAGUAUCAUAAAUAAUUAUCCAAGUAAUUGGGAUUUGAGGUAGUCACAAGCAAUUUAGUUUGAUUGUGUCCCUUUAAAUGUAUAGGCAGACCAGCUGAGCAGUAGUUCAGUGUCAAGUGAGGAUAUUUGCCGAGAGCAAAGGAUUCAUGAGACUCUGGACAAUAUUACUAGUGAAGCAAUAAUGCUCUGUAACAGCAAGUUGGAAUUUAUAUUUCAAAUGUUUAUUGUAGAUGAGGACUUUUUCGCUUUCGCUUUCUAGCAAGGCAAAAAGGGAACUCUCUAUUCUGUGAUCUCAAAUCAG
rnacentral:misc_RNA from 1 species